GGAUGAGCUACCGUGGAAGUCCAAGCCGUAAACGACGAGUGGUAGGUGUUGAGUGUUUUCGGCCCCAGCAGUGAAGAAGGUAAUUCAAUAAACACUCCGCCUGGGGAGUACGGCCACAAGGCUGAAACUCAAAGGAAUUGACGGGGAUCCGCACAAGCGGUGGAGCAUGUGGUAUAAUUCGAAGCAACGCGAAGAACCUUACCAACUCUUGACAUCCCAUUGACCGCUUGAGAGAUCAAGUUUUCCCUUCGGGGACAAUGGUGACAGGUGGUGCAUGGUUGUCGUCAGCUCGUGUCGUGAGAUGUUGGGUUAAGUCCCGCAACGAGCGCAACCCCUAUCCUUAGUUGCCAGCAUUGAGUUGGGCACUCUAGGGAGACUGCCGGUGACAAACCGGAGGAAGGUGGGGAUGACGUCAAAUCAUCAUGCCCCUUAUGAGUUGGGCUACACACGUGCUACAAUGGACGGUACAAAGGGCAGCGAGACCGCGAGGUGGAGCCAAUCCCAUAAAGCCGUUCCCAGUUCGGAUUGCAGGCUGCAACUCGCCUGCAUGAAGUCGGAAUCGCUAGUAAUCGCAGGUCAGCAUACUGCGGUGAAUACGUUCCCGGGUCUUGUACACACCGCCCGUCACACCACGAGAGUUUGCAACACCCGAAGCCGGUGAGGAACCGCAAGAGCCAGCCUCAAGUGGAGA
rnacentral:rRNA from 1 species